GUCUACGUCCAUACCACUCAGAACACUCCCGAUCUUGUCUGAUCUUGGAAGCAAGCGGGGUCGGGCCUGGUCAGUACUUGGGUGGGGGACAAGGAAUUCUUAGUGCUGGGAUU
rnacentral:rRNA from 1 species